AAAGAGCGAGAAAAACCUCCGAAGACGAUUCCUGAUCUCUCCCGCUGGAUUGUUGCUUCUGUAAUUAAACAUCAGACAAAACAGUGAACAUUUUCAUUCCGGACGAUGAAAUUCGUACUUGGAACUUGAUUCUUUCUUCUAUCGGAUUUGAGAUUCCGUGUAGUUCCUCCUCGCAUUUGUUCUCGUUCAUGGCGACUGCGCGAGAACAGAAAGUCCAAGCAGGUUUCGGAAAGGUUGGAAAAUUUAAGGAUGAAAAACUCCUUAGAAAAUCGCCGCCGACUGAUAUUGGAACGUCUGGAAGUAAUUCGUGGAUCUUGAAGCUCGUUGAUCCGGCGCAAAGGCCCAUUUCCUCUGGUUCUCAGAUGCUUUUUUCCUCCGUCUUCUAACCUCCCUCACCGUCUAACGUCUCCUACUUCGUCUCGAGAAUCAAGCCAAUCAAGAAAGGAUGGCAAGAAGGUAGAUCGAACGGUAAGUUUUAUGAUCUUGGUAUCUGGUGGGUGCUUCUGCUUAGAGGAUAUGAAUGUUCUUGCAACUUGGUGCUUCAACUUGGUGGUCACUUAUUAUUUUAGGUUGGCCUCUUUUGUUUUGUAGGUCCUUUUAUAUUCUUUCAUUUUCCCAGUUAUAGUUGGAUUUCUUAUGAAAAAAAUUUAUUGUAGGCUUAUUUAAGAGAAAUUGGUUACCUACAUCAUUCUGGUUGCUGGUUCUGAAUGCCCUUGAUUAAUCUAAUUGGAGUAUCUUUAAUUCUUUAUGGUAUGCAAAUUUACUUGCAAAGGACAGCCAAUGUAGGUGACAAUCGGAAUAGAUAUGAUCACUUGGGACGAUGGAGCUUGAAAAACUUUGAAGCAAAAGACCUUCACCAGGUCUGAGAUUGAUCGCUUGACAAUCCUACUGCAUUCAAGCACUGUUGAUUUACCUGCUGUGAAUGAGGAGAAAAGGUUCGAGUUUACGUCUUCUAUUCCAGAAUUUAACAACAGGAAGGUGGAAGUUGCAGGCAAUCGAUCUCAACUCCCAUCUUGAGCUCAAGUGGACGGGUCUUCCAUUUCUCUGCCCCUGGUUUUUUAUGCCUUAUGAUUUUUGUGCAUGAGAGUUCUCAACUAAACUGUUUUCAGUAUGUUUUUUAUACUGUUAUCACAUUUAAUGGUUAAGAAAUGUCUUCAGGUCCUUGAUGAAGAUAUUUCGUCACCUGCAGAGAUGGCGAGGGCAUACAUGGGCAGAAGGCGGCCAAAAGUUGGUCCUUCAAUGCGAGCUCAAGGACUUGGGGAAAAUUCAGCUAUUCCAAGUUGUACAUCGUUCCCUUCAAAAUCAAUAGAUAUGUUGCUUGUGCCAACGUCUACCAGUCAGGUACACCUGAGAAUGGUUUUGUAAUCCCCAAAUAUCAAAGCCGACUUUCAAUGUACAGCAUGGCUCAGUUGCUCUAUUCCAGAGUUCAUGCAAUAUUCAAUGGCAAGGUUUUAUGAGCCCCCUACUAAUUCGCCCCAGGUUUUGGGCUGGGACCACCGUUCAUGGAGAUUUUUAUCUUGAAAGAGAGGGAAAACUUAGAUUCUAAUCAUCCUGCAUGUCUUAUGAUCCCCUGCUUUGUAGAGUUCCAUGUUAUAUGAUCUAACUGUACUUUGUUUCUUCCAUAUGCAUGGUUUUAAACGUAGAAGCUCCUGUUUAGAUAAUGACUUUGGAUCCGUUCCUCUAAGCAGAUUUCAACAAAAACCUAAUAUUCUUCCUUCAUAAGGAUUAAGCUUACCUGUUUCUUCUGGACCUAUUUCUGUUUCUGUAAAUGGACUUUGUUUUCAGGCUUCUUGGAGUUCCAAAUUUAGGGAAGUUCAGCACUUUCCAUCUUCCAUUAGGAAUUCAAUUGUCCCUUCAACCCAAGAAAAUUUUUGCAAGAAAGUUUAUUAUGAACGUGGAUGGUGAUAACAAUAACAUUCUCGGUGUGUGUAGUAGCUCUAUUUAUACUCCUUCAAGGUCUUAUGAGAUGGCUUCUAAAAUACUGGAGCACCUCAAUGGUUCAAUAGUUAACUUGGUGCUCUUUUUCUCAUUUCCCACAUCGCACACAUAAUGGAUCUCGUGGUAUAACCGCAUUCCUAGCUUCUGAUGUGGUGAUUACAGACUCUGAGACAUUUGUUUGUUUUUUGAAAUUGACUAAACUAUCAGUUUGGAGUUUUUUGCUCUGUUUCUUGACUGAGGCUGUUAGAUUCUGUUACAAUAAUGCUGAAGUUAUUUCGUUUACAUAUGUUCUGGUGAACUUCAGACGACCUAAUUAGAAUCAUACAUGGUUUUCAUUUUUUAUCCUUUGCAAAUAGGAUAUCAAGGUAUCAACGUGUCCUUUAUUGCUUCACCAUUUAAUAUUUGGUGGUGAUGUGCAAACAUUUUAUAAGAUUGUUACAUUGUCGCAGCAGUUAAGUAAUUAUUCUGAUGGCGAUGAAGGAUUCUAAGUAAUUCACCUCUUUAGAACUCAAGGAUUCUUGACCAUGAUGAAAUUUCUGCUGAAAGAGUUGCACCUGCUAUGGCUGAGUUUAGAGAAGACGGUGAUAUUUCUUCAGCUGUGACACAGAAAACUGCAAAUGAAGCCUUUGCACCUGCAAGACAACAAACUACAUCUGAAGUGAUAGUGGGUUCUCCCCUCAACAGAAGUUCUAAUUUGAAAACUUCGGACGACACCACCUAUGAUGCAAAGGAUUCCAGCUUUACUUUUCAAAAUGCAUCUUCACUUUGCACGACAUCACAAGAGGAAACUAUUGAUGAUUCUGCUCCCACCCAUUCUUUUGAAGAUAAGGAUCUUCCAGAAAACAAGCAAAGUGAUCCUUCAGUUUUUAGCUAUGGAAAUAAUGUUUCUCCACGAAAGCAACCAAAUGCUUGUUCUACCUUACUUUCUCCACGAAGGUUGCUUCUCUGACAGAAUCACGUGCUGCUUCUGAAAAUGGUAAUAAGGCUCCAUACACAGUGUACUGCAGCUUCUUCAUAUUCAGAUGUUCAAAUGCCCAUACUUCUUCAAGCCAUAGACCAUGUCGCUCUUUCAGGACUUGCAAUGAUGCAUUCUCAUCCUGAACUUCAAAACCAGCUGGACUUGCCUUCUCAUUUAGCUCAUCUUCCAAUAUCUACAACGGCAAAUUCUCACCAUAGUAUGUUCAGCUGUAGUGCUGCAGCAACUUCAACUUCACCUCUUGGAUUCGAGUCUUCUACUGCGGCACCUUUCAGUUCCAUAUGCCCUGCAACCUCAGCAGAAGCAUUAGCAGAUUCCUCAUCAAAGCCCGUUUCAAGUAAUUCUCAUCCCACAGUUGCUUGUAUAUUUUCCUCUGUGAAGAACAGAGCAUCUCCAAGGAUAAUGUUCCAGUUUUCAGUCACAAGCCCAUCUCACCCCAUUCAUCAGGAUUCUCUCUUGUUCUAGCCUCGUCAGAAUUAAAUCCCUUCCAAUCUGGACAGCAGCAGACUUUGGCGGAACCCCAAAAUUCUUCCCCAUUUAUUGCUUCCUCGUUGGGUGCUGGCCGUGGCGAUAAAGCUAACCAGAGACUUUUGAAGGGCAAGCGGAAGAAAUAAACAUCUUCAGCAGUCAUUUUUCUGGCUUUAGUUCCAGCCUGCCAAAUUGGUGUAAAUUUUUUAAUCUGAUUUACGACCAUGGAUAGAUUCUUCUGUCAUUCUCCCGAACUGCGGCGAAGGAUCGAGUCUUUUAACGUAGAGAAGCGCCACCGAUUUCAGAGGAAGGGCUUACCUAGACCAAUGGUUUGGAGACUCAAAAGUAGUUCUAGAGCCUAUAUCCAAAAGAUGUAACAAUCUUGGCACGGUUUUGUAGAGAGACUCGAUGAAAUAGACAUGUCUUUGAAGAUGCAAUUUUAAAUUCCUUUUUCUCCUAUUUGAGGAUGCUUAAAUGGUCCAAGUUACGACAGGUGUGACAAAUCGUGUUAAACGCAAUUUUUGCAGUUCCAUUGAGAAAUAGAAGUCUCAGGUCUAUGAA